rnacentral:rRNA from 1 species
CACGUAGGAGGCAAGCGUUAUCCGGAUUUACUGGGCGUAAAGCGCGUGCAGGUGGUUCGGUAAGUUGGAUGUGAAAGCUCCUGGCUCAACUGGGAGAGGUCGUUCAAUACUACCGGACUUGAGAGCAGUAGAGGGAGGUGGAAUUCCCGGUGUAGUGGUGAAAUGCGUAGAUAUCGGGAGGAACACCAGUGGCGAAAGCGGCCUCCUGGACUGUUUCUGACACUCAGACGCGAAAGCUAGGGUAGCAAACGGGAUUAGAGACCCCGGUAGUCCUAGCUGUAAACGAUGUGAACUUGGCGUCGGCGGGUUCAAAGCCGUCGGUGCCGAAGCCAACGCGAUAAGUUCACCGCCUGGGGACUACGGCCGCAAGGUUAAA